GGAAAAUAGCAAGUCAAAGGCGACCUCCACGAAAUGCUGAGAUUUUUCCAUUUUGAAAUACCUAGCUUCUGAAUUAAACACCCCUCAGUGUUGCUAUAAUGGCUGCAAAUGACAGAAAGCUUUUAUUUUUGACAUCCUCCUUUCUUUUGCUGAUAAGGCUCUCCUCUAUGACACCUUUAUGACUUGAGGGCCUCAAAAAGCAUUCCAUUUCAUUGAUAUCCUAGUUUCUGAGACUUCACAUAAAUGGCAUUUGGAUGAUACACAUUAUGACAAGAAAAAUGUUCCAGCUUUUCUUAAGUUCACUGACAGCCACAAAUAAAAUUGCAAAUCUACAAGACGCCGCAGAGACACAGUCCAGAUCACCAUCUUUAAACUUUAUACAAGUCUCAGCGAUUCCACAGUGAACUUGCCAUCAGUGGGGAACUCCCUCCUCCAAGAGCUACAGCAAUAAAGCAAAAUAGCUGGAGUGAUAAAGGAGGUGGAGAAGAAAGCAAACAAAGAAAGAAUGUUCAGCAGUUUUGAAGUGUUACUGCAGCAGCCUCAAGUCUUAGCAUAGACUAACCAUAACUAAAUUUACCAUUACUCACAGUUCUAGAACUGUUUUUUAUGCUUUGGCCUGCUGAUUUUUCACUCUGAAGGUUCAGUCGGUUGGUCCAUCAGUGCUGUCAUUAUAACUACUCCUUUGCAGCAGAGGAUUCGCAGGUCUAAGGGGUUUUUUUUUCCCUUGAAUCUACUGGAUACAAUUGGCCUAUUCCAUCUGAAAGUCAUGGCUUAGCAACUUUUUAAAACCUGCAAAUAGAAACUUACUAAUAAGCUAUUUGAACUAAAAUA